rnacentral:misc_RNA from 1 species
GAUGAAGAACGCAGCGAAAUGCGAUACUUGGUGUGAAUUGCAGAAUCCCGUGAACCAUCGAGUCUUUGAACGCAAGUUGCGCCUCAAGCCAUUAGGUUGAGGGCACGUCUGCCUGGGCGUCACAUAUCGUUGCCUGAUGCCAGUUUCCUCGUGAUGGGUGACUGUGCAGGGCGAAUGAUGGCUUCCCGUGAGCAUUGUUGCCUCAUGGUUGGUUGAAAAUUGAGUCCUUGGUAGGGAGCGCCGUGAUAGAUGGUGGUUGAGUGACGAACGAGACCCAAUCAUGUGAGACCCCUACCGAAUUUGGCCUCCAUGACCCACAUGCGUCUUUGGAACGCUCAUGACGAGACCUCAGGUCAGGCGGGGCUACCCGCUGAGUUUAAGCAUAUCAAUAAGCGGAGGA